rnacentral:lncRNA from 1 species
AUGGUUGGUGUUUCUGCUGCUUCUGCUGGCACUCUGAGUCUUCACGUCAUUCCAAGAAAGCCACCUUUGCACCCUUUGGACCUGGAGAGGAGACUACAAGAGGAAAAAGGAUUCAAUGAGAUCACAGAUGGCUUUUAUUCCAGAGGACCUAUCCAAGGUGCUGAACCAAAUCACCAAAGAGAUUCAGCACCUUGGAUGGCAUUUUCAACAUUUGAAUUGGGGCUUUAACACAUGAUAUGGAGCCUCCGGUGGCCUAGGGGAUAAAAGCCUCUUGACUUGAAGGUUGGGUUGCUGACCUGAAAGCUGCCAGGUUUGAAUCCCACCCGGGUAGAGUGUGGAUGAGCUCCCUCUAUCAGCUCCAGCUCCAUGCGGGGACAUAAGAGAAGCCUCCCACAAGGAUGGUAAAACAUCAAAACAUUCGGGCUUCCCCUGGGCAACGUCCUAGCAGACUACCAAUUCUCUCACUCCAGAAGCAACUCUGAUUGCUCCUGACACGGAAAAAAAACCCACUUGAUAUGGCUAUCCCAUGCCAUUCGCCCAAUCAUGGAUAGAGGCAACUUAUUGGCAUGAUAACUGUCUCUAUCACACCUGAAAUAACUGCAGUGCUUUGGUGAUCAUCACCCCAUAGCCACACUUCCAGUCAUGUGUACAAUUUCUUCCAACUGCAGUUCUAUCACUCUGGAUUUUUUUGUUUUUACUUAUUUCAUCAAAACAGCUUUGCAAUUUCAGUGUACUAAAAAAAAUGCAAUGCUGUGAGAGAAGAGGUAGAGAGUUGGACAAUUACAAUCCCAGAAGUCACUUUUGUGUUAAUAUGCCAACACAGAAGUACCAAGGAAUCAUCACAUCAGGUAAAUGGUUGCAUGUUUUGCUCAUCCAUAGUAAGACAUGAUUUUGUUGCAGGGAGGUGACACACGGGCAAUGGGUUGUGCAUGGCAUCACCAAAUGGUACUGCUUCUGUAUUGUUUUACCACCUCUGUGCAAUGAAGUCCGAAGUCCCCUUGGGUGAGAAGGGUGGGGUAUAAAUAUUGUAAAUAAAUAAAUAAAGCUUAGAGUGGAUCACUAUGCUGCUACAUGGAUGCCACCAGACACUACUGAAGGAACCAUUCAACCAAAGGAAUACUUGCAUUUUAACAAAACAAAACUCAAUAGACCAUCAGAGUUUCUUUUUAAAUAUGGAAACAUUCUGUUAUGAAGAUAAUUCCUGUUGUUACUAGCCUGCUAUAAAUCACAUAAAAGGAAGCGGAAAUCCUACAUAUAUUCUUACUAGAUGGAGAAAGUGUCAUGAUUCAACUGUGUGUGUCUCUGGGGAUCUAUCCUGAAUACCUCAGAAGGCUAUAUGAAUAAAAUAAUGAAAGCAGUGUCACCACGAAGUGAGAAAUUUAGCUUCCCUAUGCCUCUUCAAUACUUAGGAUGGAAAAUAACUUUGUUGUGUUCAAUAGUCUCAGUGAAAGUAGCAUCUUCACACCUCCCAAGAUGUGUUGCAUGAAAAUGCACACCCUGCCUUGAGCAUUCACACAUUUGAAAAGCUUACAGGGAAUGUUAAAAAAACAAAAUAUAUGCAGAAGUGAUGUGCAUAAUUUCAAAUGAGAAUGGCUAAAAUUCUGAGGCUAAAAUGACUGAGGAAAAGAUACAAAGAAACAUAGUGAAUGAAGAGAAGUUAUGUAAAGUCAAAUAGGCAGAUCAAGAGAAAUGAAUUAGAAGUGGAUACAUUUCAGUACAUGAAGAAAACAUUCAUGCAACCAAAUGCAACAAAAAUGGGGGUGGAGCAGAGAAACCGGUGCAUAGGCUGUUGGUAGUGGCAGUGGGGAGGGGGUUAAGAGUAACAUGUAGCCUACAUGUAGUUCCCAAAGGUUGUUCUGUGGCCUCCAGGAGCACCCAGAUCUCUAUUUCAGGGCUUUGUCCCUGAUUUUUACUCCUCUGAUUCCACAUUUCCCAGAAGGGACAAGAAUUUAGGAGUUGGAGAACAACAGCAAUGUAAAGACUGGCAGACAAUGAGAUCCUUAAUUUUAGGAACCUUGUCUUCAAUACUCAUUUGAAUAUACCAUUGGCAGAUCCAGUAAUCUUUAACCAUAGCUCAAGAUAAGAUGCACCCAUCCAUCUUUCACAUCCAGAUCCUUCCGAUUAAAAUAAAAACUCUGAAGAUCCAUUAACAUUUGUUUAUCUGUUUUAGCCACAAGCUGAUAACCAAAUUGCUUGUUAAAAUGCUCCAUCUGAUUUAUAUUGCAUGCAGUAAAUUUACCUACAAGUAGGUUGCCUUGGAAAUAUAAUUACACAUUUAUUUCCUCUAUAGUGCACUUUUCAGUAGAAAGCAGAUAUUAACAGUGCCAUAAAAAGCCUGCAACAGGGAAAACUUACCUACUUUGCCUGCCUCUUCUGAUGGCAAAGCCUACUUCACAAUGGAUAGAACAGCAUGUAUCACAGUGCCAAGAGAAUCUUCAUUUUGAAAGAGGCGACUCCCCAAGCUUUAUGCUCUUCAGUAGAAAAAUAAAUGAAAUACUAAAUAAGGUAGAAGCCAUGUAAGCCUUUCCUUCUUUUUAAUU